rnacentral:sRNA from 1 species
CCUGAAUGUUAGGAGCAAAGCCACCUUCAUCCCCCACAUUUGUGGCAUCUUGGCCAUACUUUUUCUUGAUUACACCUUCAAGUGGUGGUACACCUCAACUCCCAUCUUCAUGGCCUCCUUGAAAGAGGAUGCACCAGUAGGGAGGAUCAUGAACUCCUGCAUGGCAAGUUUGUUUCCAGCAUGGGAUCCUCCAUUGAUCACAUUGAAAGCGGGUACAGGCAGCACGAGAGUCUUGUUUCCAGCAAGAUUUGCAAUGUGCUG